AGAGCACAAAAAAAGGGGGUGGGGGUGUUCCACAGGUAAUAUUUCCUUCUUAUGAACUCUACAUCUGAAAGGUUUAUUUUUUUUUUAUUUAAUUGAAAGAGAGAAAAACAAAUGUAAGACAAAUUGUGAAUGGUCUUUCUUCCUUUCUCCCAUGCCAAGAAAUUGCCUCCGUUGAAAUUUUGCAAACAUCCCAUAGAGCAAAUUACAUGGAUGAUUAAUUUUGACCAUUUGGUAUAUGGCUGUGUUUUAAGUGAGACGUACACGCGGGUCAUAAAUUAAUUUAUUGAAUGAAAUCAAAUCUUUAACUACUAAUGGAUGCCGUAGGAGGUCGACCGGAAUUUUUAGCGAGGAUUUCUUGGCAUGUAACAGAUAGAAAACUCAGGGUAAACAUUCAUAGAACCGAGACAAGGGGCAGUGGCAAAUAUUUCAUGUAUAUUUUGAACACAAAGAGGAUUACCCCGGUACCCUUUGCCAAAAAUAAUCUUCUUUUUCUUCUAUUUGCCAACGGACUUUAUGUUGUGAAUUGUAGUUUCACUUUCCAUAUUCGGUAUUUAUUCUAAUUUAAGCUCCAUGUAGUAAAAAUCACGUGAUUCAGGAAUAUAGUAUCUUGGAGUUAGACUAUUUCUUUCUUUUCGGGCGGGGACUCCAAGCAAUCAACAUGCAUGUGUAUAACGGCACUGUAGAUUUUCUUAUUAAAUUAAAAAAGUUGCCGGUCCGGUACAUGAAAAGAUCGGUUAGAAAUCAAAGUUUUAAUUUUAAUUAGAUUAGAGGGUUGAAAAUAGAGAGCACAAAAAAGGGGGGUGGUGGUGUUCCACAGGGAAUAUUUCCUUCUUAUGAAC